rnacentral:misc_RNA from 1 species
CGAAGUUGUGCGCAGCGUCGCGGCCAACAAUGGCGCGCAGUUUUCCGAGUCCGGCUAUUCGGGACUGGUCAAGCGCGCGACCGACGACGGCAUGCUGGCGCUGACUGUCGGCCAGCGCGAGGACCUUCCCGCCGCGUCGCUGAANNNNNNNNNNNGUGCUCGCCCCCCGCCGCAUGUUUGAUACGGCGAAGCCGAAACAGAAGGCGGCGAUCAAUCAGGCGAUGAUCGAGAUUUCCGGUGUGCCGAAAGCGCAACCG